GACUGCAGACCCUGAAGAUGAAGUGACCUACAGCACAGUGUUCACCAACACACAGUCAUCACCACACAGAAUAAGUCCACAUCAGUCACAGCCGUCGGAAAACCCUGCAGAUGAGGUUCUGUACAGCUCACUCGUCUUGAAAAAUCUACAGACCACACACUCAUCUCACCGUUCUGCAGCUGAUAGAGCCGGUGAUGUCAUUUACAGCUCAGUUGCCGGGCAGAACACACAG